rnacentral:rRNA from 1 species
UCGAGAAUUUUUCACAAUGGGCGCAAGCCUGAUGGAGCGACGCCGCGUGGGGGAUGAAGGGCUUCGGCUCGUAAACCCCUGUCAUUCGCGAGCAAAACCUGUUUGCUAAUACCAGACAGGCCGAUAGUAGCGGAAGCGGAAGGGACGGCUAACUCUGUACCAGCAGCCGCGGUAAUACAGAGGUCCCAAGCGUUGUUCGGAUUUACUGGGCGUAAAGGGUGCGUAGGCGGUCGGACAAGUCUGAGGUGAAAGCUCCAGGCUCAACUUGGAAAAGGCAUCGGAAACUGGCCGGCUCGAGGGUUGGAGGGGGGACUGGAAUUCUCGGUGUAGCAGUGAAAUGCGUAGAUAUCGAGAGGAACACCAGUGGCGAAGGCGAGUCCCUGGACAACUCCUGACGCUGAGGCACGAAAGCUAGGGGAUCAAACA